rnacentral:tRNA from 1 species
GCCAAUGUAGCUCAGUCGGCAGAGCGGCUCACUCGUAAUGAGCAGGUCAACGGUUCGAGCCCGUUCAUUGGCUCCA